GACGAACGCUGGCGGCGUGCCUAAUACAUGCAAGUUGAGCGCUGAAGGUUGGUACUUGUACCAACUGGAUGAGCAGCGAACGGGUGAGUAACGCGUGGGGAAUCUGCCUUUGAGCGGGGGACAACAUUUGGAAACGAAUGCUAAUACCGCAUAAAAACUUUAAACACAAGUUUUAAGUUUGAAAGAUGCAAUUGCAUCACUCAAAGAUGAUCCCGCGUUGUAUUAGCUAGUUGGUGAGGUAAAGGCUCACCAAGGCGAUGAUACAUAGCCGAACUGAGAGGGUGAUUGGCCAAAUUGGGAAUGAGACACGGCCCAAACUCCUACGGGAGGCAGCAGUAGGGAAUCUUCGGCAAUGGACGAAAGUCUGACCGAGCAACGCCGCGUGAGUGAAGAAGGGUUUCGGAUCGUAAAACUCUGUUGGUAGAGAAGAACGUUGGUGAGAGUGGAAAGCUCAUAAAGUGACGGUAACUAAUCAGAAAGGGACGGCUAACUACGUG
rnacentral:rRNA from 1 species